rnacentral:rRNA from 1 species
GACGGGGCCCGCACAAGCGGUGGAGCAUGCGGUUUAAUUCGAUGAUACGCGAGGAACCUUACCUGGGCUCAAAUGUAUGUUGACGUAUUCUGAAAGGGAUACUUCUUCGGACAAUAUACAAGGUGCUGCAUGGUUGUCGUCAGCUCGUGCCGUGAGGUGUCGGGUUAAGUCCCAUAACGAGCGCAACCCCUAUCAUUAGUUGCCAUCAGGUCAAGCUGGGGACUCUAAUGAAACUGCCUACGCAAGUAGUGAGGAAGGUGGGGAUGACGUCAAAUCAGCACGGCCCUUACGUCCAGGGCUACACACGUGCUACAAUGGCCGGUACAAAGGGCAGCUACCUGGUGACAGGAUGCUAAUCUCAAAAGCCGGUCUCGGUUCGGAUUGAAGUCUGCAACUCGACUUCAUGAAGCUGGAAUCGCUAGUAAUCGCAGAUCAGCCAAGCUGCGGUGAAUACGUUCCCGGGCCUU